GAACGAACGCUGGCGGCGCGCCUAAUACAUGCAAGUCGAGCGAGAAGACGUAGCAAUACGUUUGUAAAGCGGCGAACGGGUGAGGAAUACAUGGGUAACCUACCCUCGAGUGGGGAAUAACUAGCCGAAAGGUUAGCUAAUACCGCGUACGCUCCUUGGACUUCGGUUCAGGGAGGAAAGCGAUACCGUGGGUAUCGCGCUCUUGGAUGGGCUCAUGUCCUAUCAGCUUGUUGGUGAGGUAACGGCUCACCAAGGCUUCGACGGGUAGCUGGUCUGAGAGGACGAUCAGCCACACUGGCACUGCGACACGGGCCAGACUCCUACGGGA
rnacentral:rRNA from 1 species